rnacentral:rRNA from 1 species
GACGAACGCUGGCGGCGUGCCUAAUACAUGCAAGUAGAACGCUGAAGGAGGAGCUUGCUUCUCUGGAUGAGUUGCGAACGGGUGAGUAACGCGUAGGUAACCUGCCUGGUAGCGGGGGAUAACUAUUGGAAACGAUAGCUAAUACCGCAUAAGAGUAGAUGUUGCAUGACAUUUGCUUAAAAGGUGCAAUUGCAUCACUACCAGAUGGACCUGCGUUGUAUUAGCUAGUUGGUGAGGUAACGGCUCACCAAGGCAACGAUACAUAGCCGACCUGAGAGGGUGAUCGGCCACACUGGGACUGAGACACGGCCCAGACUCCUACGGAAGGCAGCAGUAGGGAAUCUUCGGCAAUGGACGGAAGUCUGACCGAGCAACGCCGCGUGAGUGAAGAAGGUUUUCGGAUCGUAAAGCUCUGUUGUAAGAGAAGAACGAGUGUGAGAGUGGAAAGUUCACACUGUGACGGUAUCUUACCAGAAAGGGACGGCUAACUACGUG